AUGGAGGAGGUGACCUUUCCUGAGGGGGACAGGCACCAGAAAAAGCGUUACCCAGAAUCCACUAGGACCAGGAAGUUCAAUUCAGGUUCAAGUGAAUCCACACGCGCUGAGGGGGAGAGAUGUAGGAGGGAGUCUGGGCUCUACUGUAAUGGACAGGUGAAGGAUGAUUGGAUGAAGGAUGGCGCGGUGGAGAGCUUGACCACAGACACCUCCAGGCGCUCCAGGGGGAGCGUGCUGCGCCUGUCCGGGGAGUCCAGAGGCGUGGGAGGACUGCUCCCAAAACGUCUCUGUCUGGAGGGGACAGGGGGCAGAGACACCAAUGUAGCAUCCAUAGAGGUAGAGGUGGAUCCCUCCGACUUUGACGGGACCUUGAUGGUUGUCACUGUGGGGGAAGACGAGGAAGUUGUUAGCCCCUCUAACCCCAGCUGUGGAAAGGAGAGGAGAGGAACCCUGAGGCUGUGCCUGUCCUCCAGCCAGGAUAGGUCGCCCAAACCCAGCCCUGCUGAACCCAUUGUUCUCUCCAGUGAUGAGGAGGAGGUAGUCACCCCAUCCCGCAGUUCAGUCCUUUGGCCACAGACUGGCGCUAGUGAUUCUAAGCCCCAGAGAAAUCAUUCUCAGGAACAAAUGGGGGCAGAGAUGCACUCUCAGUUGGUGCCUGUGGUGGUGACCGGAUUUGGGGAGGCCCCCUUCCCCAGUACUGAGGACUCUGAGAAUAUGGGCCUGCCCUUCUCUUCCCUGCACUGUGGGGGGGUCCGUGGGGAGGCCAGCGGGAACCUCAGGAUCACAAACCAAAGAAUCAUCAUACCAAUUCAAGAGCCUUCGGGCCUGGUAGAAGUGAUGGUGACUGUGGAGCGCUGUCAGCUGUGGCGGUACAGCGUCUGGGACUGGGAGGAGCUACAGGAGAGAGGGCUGGGGUGGGAGGUUGAGGGGGGGCAGCCGCCCCCCGCCCUCCUCCUCCUCUACGUGUCAGACACCCAGGCAGCCGCUGUCCAAGAAGACCUGAGUGAGCUGUCAAUCAAACAGGCCUUAGACCCACCCACUGGUGAGAGCCUGCCUUGUGGGACCAAAGUGUGUGUGGGUGGGUGUUUGCUCAAGAGUGUGUACGCCUAUGUGCAAUGCAAAUGUGUUUGA
rnacentral:lncRNA from 13 species